GAGGAUAUAGCUCAGGUAGAGCGCAUGCCUAGCAUGCACGAGGUCCUGGGUUUGAUCCCCAGUACCACCU
rnacentral:tRNA from 1 species